GCAACCCCCGAGAGAGCUUGAAUGAACAAGACUCAGAAUUUAUAGGAAGAAAUGCUGAUUCUGGUUCAAACUUGAGGCCUCAGAAUUUAUAGGAAGCAGCAUUGUUCCAAAAAUAUGAUGAAGAAAUGUCCCUGUUAGACAGAAUUAGUGCACAGAAACUUGAGGAAACAGAGUAUUUAAGAUCCAUGGAAGCCUCUCCAAGAUCAAUUUCAGAGCGUAUUUGCAUCAAGUGUGAAGAAGAAAGCAUGUGAUAUAGGUCACAAUAACCCAUAUGGUGAACUAGAGGCCGCUUAUGUUGCUGGAAUUAUUGGGUGAUUGUGUUGUGGAUGUUGGAGCUAUGUUGCAAUAGCUACUAUUAUUAUUCUCCAUCUGGUUGAAGCUGCUGCAGGUUCCAUCACUGACUACUGGAGAGGAUGCUACUAAUGUUGGCAACAAUUGAUGAAGAGUGAGGGUCUCUUGGCCGGAAUUAGUCUAUCACAUUAUAAUAAAGCUUCCAGUUUAGUGUUUCAAUAAACACUCUCACAUUCUUUUGUUAUUAUAUUUUUUGCAAACUUAGAUGAUAUUGUGGAUCUUACAACAAUUUUUAUAAAUUUGAUGGGAAAUGUUCAAAUUUUUUUC